rnacentral:rRNA from 1 species
GACAGAGGGCGCGAGCGUUGUUCGGAAUCACUGGGCGUAAAGCGCGCGCAGGCGGACCAGGCAAGUCUGGAGUGAAAUCUCGCCGCUCAACGGCGAGGCUGCUUUGGAAACUGCGGGUCUGGAGACCGGUAGAGGCUGGUAGAAUUGCAGGUGUAGCGGUGGAAUGCGUAGAGAUCUGCAAGAAUACCCGUGGCGAAGGCGGCCAGCUGGGCCGGUUCUGACACUCAUCCGCGAAAGCGUGGGGAGCAAACAGG